ACAGAUGUAAAUCCAAGCCUGUGAGAAGCUGACAAGAGAUGAAGCCGAUUACUUUGAGCGAGUCCACCAAGAGACUGUUAGCCACCUUCUGAGCGACAGAUAGGAUAACCGAGGGUGGCAACUUGGCCAGGCUUGCAUAACCAGCAGGGGUGCCUGACAAUACCCCAGGCAAACAAAUGAUUAAUGGCCAGGAGAGCCUGCGCACAGGCAACUGCUGUCCAUCACAGGACACCACAGCACGUCAGUAACUAGAAUAACGUCCAAGGAGAUGUGGUGUUUUAAGAAGGGGACCUGGAUUCGAAGACCAGAUCAGGCUGGAACCCCCUGAAAUUUUCAUGGAAUGGAUUUGAUGGUGAGCAGAACAGAAUCCCUGCUUCAGGCCAGAACUCAUGUCAAGGGUUGGGGAGGCAGCUUCGAGACUGUGGGUGUCACACUCAGGAAAAGCAAGGUUUCCAGGCCUCAGGCUGUCCUGGACUCAGUGUUGAAUGGGGAGUGACGGCAUUUCCACUCUGCUCAUUCUCUGCUUCUGAAUUCUCAGUAGGCAGUGUGGUCUGGGGGCCCCAGACUAAGAGCAGCAGCUUUUAACCUCUCCAGAUCGGAAUCAUAAAGGGGAAGAGAGAGGAGGCUAAGAGUAGCUCUGUCCAGCAGACCUUCUGUGAUGGUAGGAAUGCUCUAGAUCUGCGAUGUCCAUUACAGUAGCCACUGGCCACACAUUGCUGUUGAGCUACUUGCAGUGUGGCUAGUGCAACUGCAGAACUGAAUCUUUAAUUUUAUUUCAUCGAAAUGAAUUUCAAUUUCAAUAGCCACACAUGGCUAGUGGCUACGUAUUAGACACUGAGCCAUAGAGAAUAUCCUUCCUCUAGCCUUCUCAGGACUUGGAAGGGAAGAGGCAGGAUAAAUUGGAAUGGAACAUCCCAAUCAAUCAUCCACAUGAGGAAAGGCAGAUGGUGUAGAAUGGGAAACAGGGAAGACCCCUGCUUUCAACCUCCUUCCUAAGCACAGACAUCAGCUGCUUGACCUCUGGCAACUGUCAUCACCCGGCCCGUCCCUCUGAGAGCUGCUGCCUCUGAAAAGGACCUCACAAAAAGUCAUCUGAGGCUAGCAGGUGUCCCCAAAUCCACAGUCCAGUGAGGAAGGAAAUAACCUCUAUGCCUCCCAAUAGCCCCAUAGGGAACACCCCCCCCCCCAAUCUGAUGAUUUUGGAGACUCCAUAUCCCACACUCUUCCCCUGCAAUGGAAAGUAUCUCACGCUCUGCUUGAGGACACAAGCUCAUAGGUCCAUUAAUGACCAGGUCCCUGUGAGAUUUCAGUUUCACAUGUGUUGACUGAGUGCCUCCCAGAUCAUCAGAGGAAAAGCUGAACUUAAAUGAUUUCCUGUCCGAGAACAAUCUGUCACCUAACACAGUGGGAAACCAUCCAAGCUAGCCAGCUGGAGUGACAGGGCUCCGCCCACGGUCUCCAGCCUAGAAAUGGAUCUGCUCUAUCACGACAGACAGGGACUGGGUGAAUGGGUCCUAAUAACCCAGGAGAGACCCAAACCAGCCCUGCAAAUCAGCAUCAAGACACAGACCCAAGACUGAAGGAAAAAUAUCAAGCUUGUGGGAGAGUAAAUCAGUUCAUCCAAUGUUGAGUCUUGAACGCAGACCACAGCUCACAGGCACUGGAAGCCAGGCUGCGGCCCUAAGUAGGUGCGAGCCGCGCUGGAAGAGCAGGGACUGUGGGAGACUCCGCCGAGGCGCAUGCACGACAACGAGCACUGUCUGCAGGGAGUGCAGGAGCCACCUUGGCUCCUUUCUUAUUCUUCCUCUUCUUAAUCCUCACCCAA